GACGAACGCUGGCGGCGUGCUUAACACAUGCAAGUCGAACGGUAAGGCCCUUCGGGGUACACGUGUGGCGAACGGGUGAGUAACACGUGGGUGAUCUGCCCUGCACUUCGGGAUAAGCCUGGGAAACUGGGUCUAAUACCGGAUAGGACUCCGGACUGCAUGGUCUGGGGUGGAAAGCUUUUGCGGUGUGGGAUGGGCCCGCGGCCUAUCAGCUUGUUGGUGGGGUGAUGGCCUACCAAGGCGACGACGGGUAGCCGGCCUGAGAGGGUGACCGGCCACACUGGGACUGGGAUACGGCCCAGACUCCUACGGGAGGCAGCAGUGGGGAAUAUUGCACAAUGGGCGCAAGCCUGAUGCAGCGACGCCGCGUGAGGGAUGACGGCCUUCGGGUUGUAAACCUCUUUCAGCAUCGACGAAGCGAAAGUGACGGUAGGUGCAGAAGAAGGACCGGCCAACUACGUGCCAGCCGCCGCAGUAA
rnacentral:rRNA from 1 species